UCGCCUACAUGAAGCUGGAGUUACUAGUAAUCGCAGAUCAGAAUGCUGCGGUGAAUGCGUUCCCGGGUCUUGUACACAUCGCCCGUCACACCACGGAAGUUGGGGGCGCCCGAAGCCACUUAGCUAACCCUUUUGGGAAGCGAGUGUCGAAGGUGAAAUCAAUAACUGGGGUGAAGUCGUAACAAGGUAUC
rnacentral:rRNA from 1 species